rnacentral:lncRNA from 1 species
CAAGUAGGUAUGAUAAAAAACCACAAACUCUGCGACUUUCCCACCAUUGCCACCAUUGCCACGGUUGCCACGGUUGCCACCAUUGCCACCAAGUAGGUAUGAUAAAAAACCACUAACUCUGCGACUUUCCCACCAUUGCCACGGUUGCCACGGUUGCCACGGUUGCCACCAUUGCCACGGUUGCCACGGUUGCCACGGUUGCCACGAUUGCCACCAAGUAGGUAUGAUAAAAAACCACUAACUCUGCGACUUUCCCACCAUUGCCACCAUUGCCACGGUUGCCACGGUUGCCACCAUUGCCACCAUUGCCACGGUUGCCACGGUUGCCACGGUUGCCACGAUUGCCACCAAGUAGGUAUGAUAAAAAACCACUAACUCUGCGACUUUCCCACCAUUUCCACCAUUGCCACCAUUGCCACGGUUGCCACGGUUGCCACCAAGUAGGUAUGAUAAAAAACCACUAACUCUGCGACUUUCCCACCAUUGCCACGGUUGCCACGGUUGCCACGGUUGCCACCAAGUAGGUAUGAUAAAAAACC